GACGAACGCUGGCGGCGCGCUUAACACGUGCAAGUCGUACGGUAAGGCCCUUUCGGGGGUACACGAGUGGCGAACGGGUGAGUAACACGUGAGUAACCUGCCCACAACUUUGGGAUAACGCUAGGAAACUGGUGCUAAUACUGGAUAUGUGCUCCUGCUGCAUGGUGGGGGUUGGAAAGCUCCGGCGGUUGUGGAUGGACUCGCGGCCUAUCAGCUUGUUGGUGGGGUAGUGGCCUACCAAGGCGGCGACGGGUAGCCGGCCUGAGAGGGUGACCGGCCACAUUGGGACUGAGAUACGGCCCAGACUCCUACGGGAGGCAGCAGUGGGGAAUAUUGCACAAUGGGCGCAAGCCUGAUGCAGCGACGCCGCGUGCGGGAUAACGGCCUUCGGGUUGUAAACCGCUUCCAGCAGGGACGAAGCUUUUUGUGACGGUACCUGCAGAAGAAGCACCGGCUAACUACGUG
rnacentral:rRNA from 1 species